UCCGACGUAGUGCAGAGGUUAGCAUAUCAGGCUUUCAGCACAUUCCUGGAAAGCACCCUGAAGACCCGAGUUCGAACCUCGGCGCCGGAG
rfam:Magnaporthe oryzae 70-15 chromosome 4, whole genome shotgun sequence.